rnacentral:rRNA from 1 species
AGGUUGAAGGUUGGGUAACACUAACUGGAGGACCGAACCGACUAAUGUUGAAAAUUAGCGGAUGACCUGUGGCUGGGGGUGAAAGGCCAAUCAAACCGGGAGAUAGCUGGUUCUCCCCGAAAGCUAUUUAGGUAGCGCCUCGUGAACUCAUCUUCGGGGGUAGAGCACUGUUUCGGCUAGGGGGCCAUCCCGGCUUACCAACCCGAUGCAAAACUACGAAUACCGAAGAAUGUUAUCACGGGAGACACACGGCGAGUGCUAACGUCCGUCGUGAAGAGGGAAACAACCCAGACCGCCAGCUAAGGUCCCCAAAUAUAUGUUAAGUGGGAAACGAUGUGGGAAGGCCCAGACAGCCAGGAUGUUGGCUUAGAAGCAGCCAUCAUUUAAAGAAAGCGUAAUAGCUCACUGGUCGAGUCGGCCUGCGCGGAAGAUGUAACGGGGCUAAACCAUGCACCGAAGCUGCGGCAGCGACGCUUAUGCGUUGUUGGGUAGGGGAGCGUUCUGUAAGCCGUUGAAGGUGGCCUGUGAGGGUUGCUGGAGGUAUCAGAAGUGCGAAUGCUGACAUAAGUAACGAUAAAGCGGGUGAAAGGCCCGCUCGCCGGAAGACCAAGGGUUCCUGUCCAACGUUAAUCGGGGCAGGGUGAGUCGACCCCUAAGGCGAGGCCGAAAGGCGUAGUCGAUGGGAAACAGGUUAAUAUUCCUGUACUUGGUGUUACUGCGAAGGGGGGACGGAGAAGGCUAUGUUAGCCGGGCGACGGUUGUCCCGGUUUAAGCAUGUAGGCGGAGGUUCCAGGUAAAUCCGGUACCUUUUAACGCUGAGGUGUGAUGACGAGGCACUACGGUGCUGAAGUAACAAAUGCCCUGCUUCCAGGAAAAGCCUCUAAGCAUCAGGUAACACGAAAUCGUACCCCAAACCGACACAGGUGGUCAGGUAGAGAAUACCAAGGCGCUUGAGAGAACUCGGGUGAAGGAACUAGGCAAAAUGGUGCCGUAACUUCGGGAGAAGGCACGCUGAUAUGUAGGUGAAGCCCCUGCGGGUGGAGCUGAAAUCAGUCGAAGAUACCAGCUGGCUGCAACUGUUUAUUAAAAACACAGCACUGUGCAAACACGAAAGUGGACGUAUACGGUGUGACGCCUGCCCGGUGCCGGAAGGUUAAUUGAUGGGGUUAGCGGUAACGCGAAGCUCUUGAUCGAAGCCCCGGUAAACGGCGGCCGUAACUAUAACGGUCCUAAGGUAGCGAAAUUCCUUGUCGGGUAAGUUCCGACCUGCACGAAUGGCGUAAUGAUGGCCAGGCUGUCUCCACCCGAGACUCAGUGAAAUUGAACUCGCUGUGAAGAUGCAGUGUACCCGCGGCAAGACGGAAAGACCCCGUGAACCUUUACUAUAGCUUGACACUGAACACUGGUCCUUGAUGUGUAGGAUAGGUGGGAGGCUUUGAAGCGUGGACGCCAGUCUGCGUGGAGCCGACCUUGAAAUACCACCCUUUAAUGGCUGGUGUUCUAACGUAGACCCGUAAUCCGGGUUGCGGACAGUGUCUGGUGGGUAGUUUGACUGGGGCGGUCUCCUCCCAAAGAGUAACGGAGGAGCACGAAGGUUAGCUAAUCCUGGUCGGACAUCAGGAGGUUAGUGCAAUGGCAUAAGCUAGCUUGACUGCGAGAGUGACGGCUCGAGCAGGUGCGAAAGCAGGUCAUAGUGAUCCGGUGGUUCUGAAUGGAAGGGCCAUCGCUCAACGGAUAAAAGGUACUCCGGGGAUAACAGGCUGAUACCGCCCAAGAGUUCAUAUCGACGGCGGUGUUUGGCACCUCGAUGUCGGCUCAUCACAUCCUGGGGCUGAAGUAGGUCCCAAGGGUAUGGCUGUUCGCCAUUUAAAGUGGUACGCGAGCUGGGUUUAGAACGUCGUGAGACAGUUCGGUCCCUAUCUGCCGUGGGCGCUGGAGAAUUGAGGGGGGCUGCUCCUAGUACGAGAGGACCGGAGUGGACGCAUCACUGGUGUUCGGGUUGUCAUGCCAAUGGCACUGCCCGGUAGCUAAAUGCGGAAGAGAUAAGUGCUGAAAGCAUCUAAGCACGAAACUUGCCCCGAGAUGAGUUCUCCCUGAGACUUAAAGUCUCCUGAAGGAACGUUGAAGACGACGACGUUGAUAGGUCGGGUGUGUAAGCGCAGCGAUGCGUUGAGCUAACCGAUACUAAUGAACCGUGAGGCUUAACCU